rnacentral:sRNA from 1 species
GAUUCUACCCUACGGGGAAGGAUGAGAAGCUUCGACUAAGGUUCGACUCGAGCGCCAGCGAGAGAACGUUGCCGCAGGCAACGGCCCGAAGGGCGAGGAGCGAUAGCGACGAGUUAUCCUUCCCCCUCUAUUC